GGGGAGGACUGGGGGUGGGGGAGGGGAGUGAUAUAAGCCCGGCCCCUAACGGCUGAAGGACCGCCUCCCCCUCCCGCGGGCCACGCGCAGAGCGUGGGCAAGGGAAGGGGCGAGAGAGAGAUGGAGGAAGGACAAUCACAUAUCUACAAGGAGAGAAGGUGGCACCAUUAGCUGGAGGACAUAGGGUACGGAAAUUUCUCAAAGAAGAGAAGCACAUCACUCAUCUCAAGAAAAUCCAGUCUCUGAAUAUUGGAUUAACAAAAGGCUUCUCAAAGGGGGAGUGAAGAUAUAUAGGAAUUGAAGCUUACUGUCUGCCCCUUGACUGAUCACACAGGAGUGAAACCGCACUGGGUUAAGACUGAUCAGUUGGAGAUGUUCAUUGGUAUAGUAUUAAAGAUUUUAUUAAGUUGUUUCCAGGACAACUUGCUCUGUUUGCUCCAUGGAAAUAGUAAAGACUCAUGCACCUGCAAAGGCUGGACUAGAUGCCUUUUCUUGCAGUACUGGAAGACACUUCAGGUAAAUUAACCAUCAAUUCUGAUGAGUGAGCAAGUGUCCUCAUCAGUUUUCCAAACCAACCUGUUACCUGAAGUAAAGAAGUCAAAAGGAAUUCUGCAGUUGGAUGUGUACUGUAUCAUAGACUAUCAGGGGUGGAAGGGACCUCAGAAGGUCAUCUAGUCCAACCCCCUGCUCAAAGCAGGACCAAUCCCCAAUUUUUGCCCCAGAUCCCUAAAUGGCCCCCUCACAGAUUGAGCUCACAACGGUGGGUUUAGCAGGCCAAUGCUCAAACCACUGAGCUAUCCCGCCCCCCUCUAGAUAUGCCCUGUAGAUAUUCCUGAGCCUGUAGGGGAAGAUUUUGCAAAGCAUAGCCUCUGCAUACAUGAAGUAUGUUAGAAGUCUCUAAAAUUCAAUAAUACAAAAUAGUGAAUAGAUGCACCAUGGUCAGGUUAAUAGUCCCAUGGUAUACAGACCCUUUCAGGGUAAUCCUAAAGGCCAGCGCAACCCUGCUCCAAGUUCUGACCGGUACUGAGAGUUCUAGUUCCUAGAGAUCAGGAGACAGAGCAAGCAAGGCCUGUUGGGAAGGGGGACAGGUUAUAAGUCGGGGUGGGAAAACUUUUUGGCCUGAGGGCCGCAUCGGGUUUUGGAAAUUGUAUGGAGGGCCGGUUAGGGGAGGGGGUCGUGUCCCGGCCCCCACCUCCUAUCAGCCCCCCCGCCCCGGAACUCCAGCCCUAUCCAACCUGCCCUGUUCCCUGACAGCCCCUACGGGACCCCUGCCCCAUCCACACACCCCCGCUCCCUGUCCCCUGACUGCCCCCGUACCUCCUCCCUUAACUGCCCCCCACCGCCCCAUCCAACCCACCGUUCUCCUUCCUGACUGCCCUACUGGGAACCGCCUCCCUAUCCAACCCCCCCUGCUCCGUGACCCUUUACCGCACCGCCUGGAGCACCGGUGGCUCGUGGCGCUACAGCCGCGCCACCUGGCUGGAGCCAGGCCACGCCUCCGCCGCCACCACGCAGCACAGAGCACCGGGUCAGGCUGGGCUCUGGAGCUGCGCUGCCCCAGGAGCUCACAGCCCCCCGGCCCAGAGCAUUGCGCCCGCUGCGAGGUGAGGCUGCGGGGGAGGAGGGACAGCAAGGGAGGGACUGGGGGCGAGCCUCCCGGGGCAGAAGCUCAGGGGCUGGGCCGGAUGUGGCCCGCAGGCCGUAGUUUGCCCAACUCUGUUAUAAGUGAAGCCUAUUGCAUAGAACAGAGAGACAGCCAGGGGGAGCAGUGUGCCUGGGAAUUUCUUCAGUCCUCUAGGCCCUAGGGAAGAGAGCUGGGAAAGAAGCCAGGGAUGUCCAGAGGCCUAGAAAAGGCCAAAGACUAGGGAUGCAGCUGGGACUCUCACUUUGAAGGAGUGUCUCCUUUAGCGGUAAAGCAGUAGUUUCUUAACAUUGUGUCAGAAAUAAGAAGUUAUGCACAUAACUAGCCUAGUGAAUAGUUCGUUCUUAUAUAUUGUCUUUAUUCUCCCUCCCAUUGUUCCCCUGGUUGCAUCUUUCUUUUGAAUUAGAAUGUCAACUCUGCUUUGUAUGGUGUGCAGUAGGGUCCAGUCCUGACUGGGAGUCUUUGGGAUGGCCAUAAUACUGGUAAUAUAUUUAAACUUUUUGUUAUGGUGUGCUGGAGUAGAAUUUUUAUAAUUGGAUGAGUUGGGGGGUACCAUGAGACUUGUUCAUAUGGUGUUGCAGGUUUAUGUAAAUGGCCGUAGCUCUUGUAAGCCUGUGUUUAACUCUUGUGUAGCAUGUAAUAUGUGGCUCUUUGUAGUGAAAAAUUAUAUGUUAGUGUUCUACAAGACUGGAAAGUGGUCACUUGAAUACAAUUAUAAGCUGUUUUAAAACUAUAUAUAUUUCUGCAAAUUUUAUGUCUCAGAAUUGCGGCUGGGGUAGUGUAAGCUGAGUAGAAUAAAACACAAAUACUAUCUAAAGGCACUUAUUUUGGGGGGAAGUUGAAAACUGGGUUUAUGUUUGGGGAAAUAGCUUCAACCAUAAGUAUGGAAUAGUUCUAAUCUGAGAAAUGAGAGUAUAAAAAGGUGCAUUUUCAGUGCUGCAUCUGUGGAUUCAGUCAUAACUAUUCUAUUUAAUGCACAUAAGAUCAGACAACUUUUUACUCCUGCAAAACACAGUUCUAGCAAAAUGAAGUGGAUUCUUAUCUGGUUGGUUUAUCAGCAGAAUUAAAUUCUGUAAGCACCAUUACCUGUGCAAUCACACUAUCUUCAUUAUUUCUUUGCCACCCCACUUAAAGCUAUAUGGUUACACAGGUAUUACUGAAGGCAACAUUUUCUCUGCAGAAUCUGUUGCUGGUAGUGAUGGAUGAAGAAAAUAAUCUUUUACUUCAUUAGACUGAGCUUGCAGAGCUGAACUGGAGAACAGGUAUCAACUGAGCUAAGGUGAGACAGAAAUUACUGAGACAAACAUAGAAUAGGGUUGCCAGGUGUCCGGUUUUCAACCGGAACGCCUGGUCGAAAAGGGACCCUGGUGGCUCCAGUAAGCAUCCCCAAAAUGUUUGGCCACCCCCUCCCACACCUCAACUCCCUGCCCCAGCCCAGAGCCCCUUUCUGCACCCCGAACCCCUCAUUUCUGGCCCCACCCCGGAGCCUGCACCCCCAGUUAGAGCCCUCACCCCGCCCUGCACUCUAACCCCCUGCCCCAGUCCAGUGAAAGUGAGUGAGCAUGGGGGAGAGUGAGCCAUUGCGGGAGGGGGAGUGUAGUGGGUGGGGCCUUGGGGAAGGGGCAGGAAAGGGGCAGGGCCUGGGAAGGGGUGGGGUUAGGAAGUUCGGUUUUGUGUGAUGAGAAAGUUGCCAACCCUAACAGAACCAUUUCUACAGUAAUUUCUCAGAAUAGAACCUUCCUUCAAACAAGUGUAAAAGUCUGCUGCUGUCCAGUACUCCCUCUUGUGGCCAGGGAGGGACAGUGCCUGCUUGGUUUUUUAAUACCUCCUUCGUGGGGUCUGGUUUACUAGGUCUUUUUACAGAGCACAAACCAGUUUUUAGUUCACUCCCACUCUGGGUCCAUACAAGAGACCAAGUAGGCUUCCUUUCCCCAUGUUCAUGAGACCCUAGCCCUCCUCCCACAGCUGGGCUAUACUUCAGCCUGUCCCUUUCUCUCUUGAAACCAGGAAUCCCCAUCUCUCCUCCUGGGAGUUGGGUGUAAUUCAGGUCAGCUGUAGGGCCUCAGACAGCUUCUCCUCCCAUUGACUCUUUUCUCCCAGUCAAUCCUUUUGCUUUUAGACUAGAAGGAUUCAGCAAGCAAACUUUCUCCUGCUAUUGUCUCCACUACUAUGAGGGAGGAGGUAGUAUAUCUGCUGAUCCCCUUCCAAAUGCUCAUCCCAGUUGGCUGCGAGAGAUGCUGAUCCCCUUCCAAAUGCUCAUCCCAAUAUGCCUUAGGUACAUCAGGCAUCCCAAACCAUUGAAGAGCCAUGCCCCAGACAGGGGGGGAUUGAAUGAACCCUCGGCCCUCCUAUCAUCAAGGGGACAGACUACCCCAUCACACUUGGAAAACAGAGGAGAGAGGACCUGUGGCAAAGAUUCAAUUACAUUUGUUUUUUUUUUUAUAAAGUGCUCUUGGACUUAGCUCAGCUCUUAAAUGAUGUGAUAAAUAUUGGCAGAAUAUGCAUGACUUGAGCUGGAACAGGUGCAGGCCUCUGGACUGGAGCUGAAAAUGUAAUUGUUGAAGACAAAAAAAGGGACUUUGGUUUGGUGUAGGUAUAGCUGCAUUGUGUAGCUACAUCUAAAGUUAACAUAGCUGAAUUGUUUCCAGUCUAAAAAGUCUGCCAGUUGCUUAUAUAACACUCAGACUUUCACCUAUCAAAAUACUGCUUUUUGUGACUGGUCCCCAAAUAGAAAGUUGUAUUUUUUUUUUUUAAACUUGAGCAAGAAAAAGUUCAACUGUUCUUCAGCAGGAAAAAGGGAUGGGGAAAAGAUCUUGCUAUUAAGCAAAAUAUUUUUUUUAAAAAUCACCUGGUUGCAGAUGUGUCUUGUGGUAUGGUGACAAUCCACUUGAAUUUUUGUAAUUUAUAAUACUUUCAACAUACUUAACACAUACACUGGUUUUUAAUCAUAAGGUAGCAGGGAUGUACUAGUAAUAAUUUCCCAGUGCUGUAUUAAUGCAGUAUAUGUCUCCAUAGCGGAAGCAGUGGAGCAUGAACUGAAGGUGUGUAUGGAAUGAGGUAAAGCUUCAUGAAAUGGAGUGCAUCAUAAUGUGUAUUUACAAAGUUUUGAGUGCUUCACUAUGUAAACAUUUCUUUACCUAUUUGUAUGCAAUGCUAUCUUGACAAGGCUGAUUUCCCCACUCUGGCACUUUGAGUGCAGAAGGUGGGGGCCCGCAAGGAUUCUAAAAACGAAUACUGGCCACUCCAGGCUGGUAUGAAACUCCCAAGGUUACAGCUUUUCUCUGACCUUGGAUGGGUAGAUGCUGCCACCACCCAAAUGCAAAAAAUCCCCUUCGGACCCAGGAAGGCGCAUUUGGGAAUUCCUCCCUGUGGGGUACCCUCAAGCCCUUUCACCCUCCGUUCGGGAAAGAGCUGAGAAAGAAAAUAAAGGAAAUCAGCUGUUGCCACCAGCUAAUUAAACAACAUAUGCACAAACCUCUUAGGACACAAAUAUCCCAAUCCUGUUCUUAAAAAGGGUAAAUUUUAUU